UACGUAGGCAGCGAACGUUGUUCGGAGUUACUGGGCGUAAAGGGUGUGUAGGCGGUUGUUUAAGUUUGGUGUGAAAUCUCCCGGCUCAACUGGGAGGGUGCGCCGAAUACUGAAUGACUAGAGUGCGGGAGAGGAAAGUGGAAUUCCUGGUGUAGCGGUGAAAUGCGUAGAUAUCAGGAGGAACACCGGUGGUGUAGACGGCUUUCUGGACCGUAACUGACGCUGAGACACGAAAGCGUGGGUAGCAAACAGG
rnacentral:rRNA from 1 species